UACGGAGGGGGCGAGCGUUGUCCGGAAUUAUUGGGCGUAAAGAGCUUGUAGGCGGUCUGUCGCGUCUGCUGUGAAAAUCCGGGGCUCAACCCCGGACUUGCAGUGGGUACGGGCAGACUAGAGUGUGGUAGGGGAGACUGGAAUUCCUGGUGUAGCGGUGAAAUGCGCAGAUAUCAGGAGGAACACCGAUGGCGAAGGCAGGUCUCUGGGCCACUACUGACGCUGAGAAGCGAAAGCAUGGGGAGCGAACAGG
rnacentral:rRNA from 1 species